GAUGAACGCUGGCGGCGUGCUUAACACAUGCAAGUCGAACGGGAAUUACUUUAUUGAAACUUCGGUCGAUUUAAUUUAAUUCUAGUGGCGGACGGGUGAGUAACGCGUGGGUAACCUGCCUUAUACAGGGGGAUAACAGUCAGAAAUGACUGCUAAUACCGCAUAAGCGCACAGAGCUGCAUGGCUCGGUGUGAAAAACUCCGGUGGUAUAAGAUGGACCCGCGUUGGAUUAGCUAGUUGGUGAGGUAACGGCCCACCAAGGCGACGAUCCAUAGCCAGCCUGAGAGGGUGAACGGCCACAUUGGGACUGAGACACGGCCCAGACUCCUACGGGAGGCAGCAGUGGGGAAUAUUGCACAAUGGGGGAAACCCUGAUGCAGCGACGCCGCGUGAAGGAAGAAGUAUCUCGGUAUGUAAACUUCUAUCAGCAGGGAAGAAAAUGACGGUACCUGACUAAGAAGCCCCGGCUAACUACGUGCCAGCAGCCGCGGUAAUACGUAGGGGGCAAGCGUUAUCCGGAUUUACUGGGUGUAAAGGGAGCGUAGACGGAUGGACAAGUCUGAUGUGAAAGGCUGGGGCUCAACCCCGGGACUGCAUUGGAAACUGCCCGUCUUGAGUGCCGGAGAGGUAAGCGGAAUUCCUAGUGUAGCGGUGAAAUGCGUAGAUAUUAGGAGGAACACCAGUGGCGAAGGCGGCUUACUGGACGGUAACUGACGUUGAGGCUCGAAAGCGUG
rnacentral:rRNA from 1 species